UCGAACGAAGCGUGCCGGAGGAAGUUUUCGGAUGGAAUCUGGGAUGACUGAGUGGCGGACGGGUGAGUAACGCGUGGGUAACCUGCCCUGUACAGGGGGACAACAGUUAGAAAUGACUGCUAAUACCGCAUAAGCGCACAGGACCGCAUGGUCCGGUGUGAAAAACUCCGGUGGUACAGGAUGGACCCGCGUCUGAUUAGGUAGUUGGCGGGGUAACGGCCCACCAAGCCGACGAUCAGUAGCCGACCUGAGAGGGUGACCGGCCACAUUGGGACUGAGACACGGCCCAAACUCCUACGGGAGGCAGCAGUGGGGAAUAUUGCACAAUGGGGGAAACCCUGAUGCAGCGACGCCGCGUGAGUGAAGAAGUAUUUCGGUAUGUAAAGCUCUAUCAACAGGGAAGAAAAUGACGGUACCUGACUAAGAAGCCCCGGCUAACUACGUGCCAGCAGCCGCGGUAAUACGUAGGGGGCAAGCGUUAUCCGGAUUUACUGGGUGUAAAGGGAGCGUAGACGGCAGAGCAAGUCUGAAGUGAAAGCCCGCGGCCCAACUGCGGGACUGCUUUGGAAACUGCCCGGCUAGAGUGCUGGAGAGGUAAGCGGAAUUCCUAGUGUAGCGGUGAAAUGCGUAGAUAUU
rnacentral:rRNA from 1 species